rnacentral:lncRNA from 1 species
CGGAACGAUUUAUACAGCUGUGCCAAUAACUCGGAUUAUUUUGCAGCACACAUGAAUGAAUGGUGAAAAAUAUUCCGGCAUGUUAUAGGUGUGGCCCCCUUCCGAACGGCUGUUAUACCCUUGGCGGUUUGGACCAACCACUCCCGAAGUGCUGUAACAUCGCUUGUGACCCAUAUAAGUUCGCGUGUCUGACACCUGAAGGCAAGUUGUUGCGGGACGGCGAAGAAUACAACUCGAGAAGACCAUGCGUGCGGUACACUUGCAAGAGUGGAGCGCUCAUAACAAUGACAUGCCAAGGGUACGCGGACUUGAAAUGUUCUGCUGCUAACAUAAACCCUUUCUCGCCUUAUCCCUCAUGCUGCGGCGUGGGAAGGGUUUGCCCAAGUUGAAAAAUCAGAAGAGGAAUGGUUCAU